GACGAACGCUGGCGGCGUGCUUAACACAUGCAAGUCGAACGGAAAGGCCCUGCUUUUGUGGGGUGCUCGAGUGGCGAACGGGUGAGUAACACGUGAGUAACCUGCCCUUGACUUUGGGAUAACUUCAGGAAAAUGGGGCUAAUACCGGAUAGGAGCUCCUGCUGCAUGGUGGGGGUUGGAAAGUUUCGGCGGUUGGGGCUGGACUCGCGGGUUAUCAGCUUGUUGGUGGGGUAGUGGCUUACCAAGGCUUUGACGGGUAGCCGGCCUGGGAGGGGGACCGGCCACAUUGGGACUGCGAUACGGCCCAGACUGCUACGGGAGGCAGCAGUGGGGAAUACUGCACAAUGGGCGGAAGCCUGAUGCAGCAACGCCGCGUGCGGGAUGACGGCCUUCGGGUUGUAAACCGCUUUCGCCUGUGACGAAGCGUGAGUGACGGUAAUGGGUAAAGAAGCACCGGCUAACUACGUG
rnacentral:rRNA from 1 species